GUCUGCAGCCAUGCUCCCCUGAACAAGCCCGAUCCCAUCUGAUCUCGGAAGCUAAGCCGUGUCAGGCUUGGUUAGUAAAAAAAACAACCUCAAAAGGUUAUAUGCU
rnacentral:rRNA from 1 species